AAAUAAGGGAUUGAUGGUGAAAACGGGCAUUAGACUUGUAUCAUGAAACGUCACUCAAGUGGGAAUGUAAACUUAAACCAAUCGAGAUUGAAUUCAAUUUUGAGUGAAAUGUUUCAGAAUACGAGAUAUAUUAUAUUCUUACUGUAAGAUCUGUAGUCUACUGGUAUUUUGUUUAGAACUUAUGCUUUACUUAACUCAUAGUACUUUAAGUAGGUACACGUUACGAUACAUUUCAGUUUUAUGAUUUUAUUUUUUUACCAAAAUUGUCGCAAUACUUUUAUUACUGUUAAAAUGUUCAACAUCACAUGUUACAGUUUUGGUUAAAAAAUAAAGAAGAAACUCCGACCAUUUCUCGUACUAGAAUUUUUAUGUAACAAUUUAUAAUGUGUAUUUUCAAAUUACAUUUAUAAAUUAGUUCUCUGCAAAAAUAAUCCUCAUAUUAUUAGAUUUUCUUGUUUGUACAGUUCAUUUCAUACGAGCUGCAGUAUAAAGCAUUGGACUCGCUCGACUGUAUAGUCUGGUCUGUGAGCACGUAGAAUUUUGUCCAAUGACCCCAAGCUACCCAUCCUUAUCGCUUGCGCGUAAUUAUGUUACUGUCACGUUCGCACACUCACUGCGGGCGCCCGUCGCACAGUCGCGACAGCAAUAUAAUUAAGCGCGAGCGAUAAGGAUGGGUAGCUUGGGGUCAUUGGUCAAAAUUCUACGUGCUCACAGACCGGGCUUUAGAUAUUUUUGAGGUGGACUGUACUAACGACAAAGGCGCGGUUUCCACUAAAGCGGAGCGGAAAGAAAUAUUUUGAAUGACCAAUCACAUUUCAUUCACUUUGAAUGAAACUGACAAUAUGAAAUGUGAUUGAUUAAUUCAAAAAAAUUUUCGCUCCACCUUGGUGGAACCGGGCCUAAGCUAUUUGGAAAUGUUAAUUGUAUUCAUAAGAAUUUAAUAUUAGCUUUGGUUAAGUUUUGUAAUUGUAUACCAAAUAUUAUCAAUUGCCUAGUCAGCCUCCAUCAUACAGACGACAGUACAUCAAGCUAACACUGUGGCUUCUUAUGCCAUUGUAUUAUGGGCUAUUUUGCAACAAAAUUGUAAAGCUUGAUAUGCUGCCGGCUGUACAUCGGUACAAACAUCUGUAGCCAUUUUGAACAAUAUACGCGUGUGUAAUCAAUAUAAUGUACUCUUCUUUUACAUAGCAUUUAUUAGUAAUUAUACCGAAUGUAUCCUCUGAGUAUUUUAGUAAUAUAAUAAACUUACAGUUACCCUCUUCUCUAUUUGGGGAGAUUAAGUUCCUUUAAAAGACAUGUGUGUCAGAUUAUUAAAAAUACAGACUGUAUCGCCAAGUAGCAGUGUAAAAUAUCCCUGUUAAAACCUUGAAUCUUAUCCUAAUGUCUUUAAGUUCAAAUUCGACUUUAAAAGUGUAUAUCCAUGCUUUCAAGGACAAAACAAUAAUCUCAACUGAAGAAAUAUUUCUAACGCUAAAAAUAAAGAAUAUGGUAACUGAAAAUGCUAUGUUAACAUUUGAAUAUACUUAUACCACUCCAGAAACUGAUUAAUAUCCGUUUUCGCGCCUAUUGUUAUUUCUUUGAUAAUAAAUGUAUUUAGAAUUUUCAAUA